CAUGAAGGCCGUGGCGAUUUGGCGACCAGCUUGCGGCCACGUUAAACAUUCCGCUAAACGGUCGAAGGCGCUGGCCC
rnacentral:ncRNA from 1 species